rnacentral:rRNA from 1 species
UCGGGUAAGUUCCGACCUGCACGAAUGGCGUAAUGAUGGCCAGGCUGUCUCCACCCGAGACUCAGUGAAAUUGAACUCGCUGUGAAGAUGCAGUGUACCCGCGGCAAGACGGAAAGACCCCGUGAACCUUUACUAUAGCUUGACACUGAACAUUGAGCCUUGAUGUGUAGGAUAGGUGGGAGGCUUUGAAGUGUGGACGCCAGUCUGCAUGGAGCCGACCUUGAAAUACCACCCUUUAAUGUUUGAUGUUCUAACGUUGACCCGUAAUCCGGGUUGCGGACAGUGUCUGGUGGGUAGUUUGACUGGGGCGGUCUCCUCCUAAAGAGUAACGGAGGAGCACGAAGGUUGGCUAAUCCUGGUCGGACAUCAGGAGGUUAGUGCAAUGGCAUAAGCCAGCUUGACUGCGAGCGUGACGGCGCGAGCAGGUGCGAAAGCAGGUCAUAGUGAUCCGGUGGUUCUGAAUGGAAGGGCCAUCGCUCAACGGAUAAAAGGUACUCCGGGGAUAACAGGCUGAUACCGCCCAAGAGUUCAUAUCGACGGCGGUGUUUGGCACCUCGAUGUCGGCUCAUCACAUCCUGGGGCUGAAGUAGGUCCCAAGGGUAUGGCUGUUCGCCAUUUAAAGUGGUACGCGAGCUGGGUUUAGAACGUCGUGAGACAGUUCGGUCCCUAUCUGCCGUGGGCGCUGGAGAACUGAGGGGGGCUGCUCCUAGUACGAGAGGACCGGAGUGGACGCAUCACUGGUGUUCGGGUUGUCAUGCCAAUGGCACUGCCCGGUAGCUAAAUGCGGAAGAGAUAAGUGCUGAAAGCAUCUAAGCACGAAACUUGCCCCGAGAUGAGUUCUCCCUGACUCCUUGAGAGUCCUGAAGGAACGUUGAAGACGACGACGUUGAUAGG